CUGAGCCCACUAUUUUCUUAAUUAUAGAAAACCAAAGGAACCACUUCAAUGUCUAUCUCCUUCUCUCCCCGUUAGAAAACACAACAACAAUCUGAAGCAGAUCUUGCGGCCUGAAAUAUCUACUUUCACCCCUCCCCACGAGAUCUGGAUCAAGAUAAGAUUCUCCUUUGGUUUUGGUUCUCUGGAUCAGGAUGAGGUUCUCUUUUUGUUUUUGAUUCAGUUUUUUUUUCUUGCUUUCUACAGAUUGAAUCUCAAAGAUCUCCGCAAGCUCUUCGCCUUUGUUUGAUUUCUGCUACUGAUUCUCUCCCACGUUUACCUACUGUCGUGGAUUGGUUCGUCUGUUGAUAUCCAAUAAAACACAUGAGCAUGUGUGCGUUCCACCCAGAUUCUCCAUGUGUUCUCCAAUCUGAUUCUUGAUUGGGUGAUGGUGGAAAAGUUGUUAUUUAAAACAACAACAAUCUGAAGCUGAUCUUGCAGCGUGAAAUCUCUACUAUCACCCCAUCCCCCGAGAUCUGGAUCAAGAUGAGGUUCUCCUUUGGUUAUGGUUCUCUGGAUUAGGAUGAGGUUCUCUUUUGGUUUUGGAUUCAGUUUUUUUCUUGCUUUCUAUGGAUUGAAUCUCGAAGAUCUGCGCAAGCUCUUCACCUUUGGAUUUCUGCUGCUGAUUCUUUUCCACGUUUACCUAUUGUCCUGGAUUGGUUCGUCUGUUGAUGUCCAAUAAAAUACAUGAGCAUGUGUACGUUCCGCCCAGGUUCUCCAUGUGUUCUCCAAACUAAUUCUUGACUGGGUGAUGGUGGAAAAUUUAUUAUUUACGUCUUGAAAGUGGGGUAGCAAGAUUUGUGCGAAGAGUACUUCAAGUCCAACAAUUUCUUUCCUGACAAGUUCCGAUCAAAGUCAAUAUGCAGGAAUCGUUCUUUUUUUGCACGUUACAUGGCUGCCACCUCCCAAGUAACUAUGAUGCGCCUCAGCCCGGCAAUUGCCCCCACUGCACCCUUACCUCCUGCAGCCAUCUUCUAAGCAUGUACCUAAGUGCUUAGCAACGUCCUCUUGGAACAACAACGACCACAUCACUAUCAUGAAGACUGGCAAGGAAGAGAGGUUGAUCAAGGCGCGGGACUAUGCCUGAGUUAUAUUUCAGCGUGUCAUGCAACCACAUGUUGACACCCACUAUUGCAUGUGACUUGCAAGAAGCAAUAGCUUGCCAUCCAUCGACAUAACAAGCACGAUGCUGACCCCCAUCUACAUGCAUUACUCGCGUGGCACAAUACAAUAAAUGUUGCAGCAUAUAUCCCUUUUCUCCAGUCAGUUUCAAACAUCCCUCUGUCUACCUGUUUGACCUGCUCCCCAUGCAUGUGCUUGAGACUUUGAGCCUUUGAAGUGAUGUUUAGAGGAAAUAGCUAUGAGUGGGUCUUUUCUUUUCUGAUGAUUGUUUAGAGAAAAUAGCUAUAUAUAUAUAUAUCCGAUAUAACCUUUGAACCAAUGCUCAAGGUCCUAUAUGUAAGACACAGUGCAUUACAUGGUAUACUCUAAGUAAGAGUAGCUUCUGUUGUGCAGGUAUUUCUCCUACAUGCAGAUUCUUAUCAACAAAGUGAAUCUCAUAGAAUAUUUAUACUCAUCAUGUAACAGUAACAUUAGCUAUUUUGUUAUGUGUAUAUUAAACAGUUUGUCUACCAACCAUUAUUUUCGAUUAUGUACUUUAAACAAAGUCGAUCCUCAUCUCCCUGAUGUUUACUGCUACAAAAUUGGUGCACGCAUGGUUCUGGCACUCAAUUUCUUUUAUGAUCCGCCAAGUAGUAGUUAAAUUUUUUCUUGCAAAGUAUAGUUGACUAAAUUUUAACAUCCGCUAUUUUGAAGGAACGGUUUAGAGAAAACAGCUAUAACAGUUUUUUCUGGUCCUAUUAUACUUGGAUCUGGUUUCUUCUAAUAUCGUGUUACUCCUAAAUAGUUCAUGUUUCAUUUUUCUCUUCAUUGUAUGUAAUCUUGUCAAAUGCCAGUUGUGCGCCUAUCUAAAUAUUAUAAUUUCUUUACUAUUAGAACUUGGUUUAAUCUAUAUGAUUACUUUCCUACUAGAUUUGUACUGUCCAUGUUUAGACAUUUACUUAGAUGAACAAAAUCCACUUAUUUGGCAAGAUGAGCAUCUAUAGAUGGUUCUUUAUUUAUCAAGUAUCCCAUAAGUCAUAAUGCACAAAAACGGAUGUUCAUAGUGUCAAUCAGUAUCUCCAGGUCGUGUGGUACAAAGUCAGGGAUGGCCGGCCUAAGAAUAAGAACAUUUUAUAUCAACGAUCAAUGCAACAUUCCCUGAGCUUAUUAAUCUAUAUCUAUACUUCUACUAAUUAGGCACUUCCUAGAAAUUCCCACGUUAAUUAGAAAUUACGAACCGCUAAUCUAUGUGGGGCCAAAUUAUUACGGUGUAGAUUAACCCAAAAGGACUCAAUAAAAAAAUCAUUUUUCUCAGUUGAAAAACAUAGUAAGAAAAAAAAAACUUUAUCUCCAUCUAUUCACAUAAUAACAAAAAACUUUUCCUCAUGUUGUCACGCCCUAGAUGCCAUCUAAUUCUUCAGAUGAAA